GGAAAGCAAACAGCAGCAAGAGCAGCAGAAGAUUCAAUGUCGGAACAGCCUACAAACUGCAGGCUGUAACCUCGACGGUAUUGAUUGAGUGCACUUGUCCAUCUUCAUUUUUAACGCAAAAUAAAAUGCGUGAAGAACUGUGGAGAUGGCCAGGCAAAGGAGGAUCUUCUUGGCUUCAUUUGUACCAGAGCACUUUAUCAAGACUGAAUAUAAUUUUGCUGGCCUAUUUAUGAGCUAAAAAUAGACAUUAUUUUGUUUGGCCCAUUUUCCAUCUUAGGCUCUCCUGGGAGCCCAGGUGAACUGUGGCUCAUUUUUAACUCCCUCCCAUCAUUGCGUAUUUUCCGUCGACCCAGGCUGCAUGGAAGUGAAAGUCACUUUGUACUGCCAGUCGCACUGGAGCGCGCUGAAUCUCCCAGAAGCAGGGAAAGAAAAAGGCCCGUGGAGAGGACUUUCCAUUCUUAGCGAAACCUAGCUGCUGUGGCCUGAGGGGCUAAUCAAGCAUUAUAAACACUGAUUAAAUAAGGGAAUGUGGCCUUGGAAAUCACCGGAAUUGGUGCCAAUUCUGUGACAUUCACAUUCCUACCUUCUCUCUAAUGUCUUUUCUUCUUUAAGUUUGGAUGGGAGCAAAUUCUGCAUCUUCCGCCGCUGACUCGUGGGUCCUGAGGGGACUGCCCCUCCUACCCAGAUCUUGCUGUGGGUAGAAUUUAUGAAACUGUAAUCCAGCGACCUUCGUGUGGUCUCCAGACAAUCUCCUCCUGAGCUUAGAACUUUAGAGCUGAAUGUUACCUUAUAGAUGAUCUAGAUCCUUGCUACUGAAAACGUAACGCGCGGAACAGCAGACGGCCCUCAUCAGGAAUCUCGUCAGACAUGUAGAAUUCCCACCCCAGCCCUACGGAAUCAGAUCACGCCUUAAACGAGAUUUCCAGGUGGUUCACAUGCGCAUUGAAGUUCAAGAAGCAAUGGUGUGGAUCAAGACCCUUGUUUUAUAGGUUAGGAUGCUGUGGCCCCGAUCUGGGCAGUUAUUAGCUAGCAUCCCACAACAACCGUCAGAGCCUGCCAUUCUCCUUUCUCCAGGAUGCUGCGGUCCCUCCAUAUGACACGGCUUCUCUGGACUCUUGAAUGAAGAGUUAUUUGUAUAGUAUUUGCGUUCGUUAGUGGGAAAGGAAAUAGCACCUUGUUCACAUAAACAUAACCUGUGUCUGUGUUUCCAUGAUCUCUGAUAUAACUUGUUGAAAACGCCUAGCACAGUGCCUGUCUAUGUGGUAGGUGCCCAACUGACACUGUGAUCGUAUUGAUAAAAUUAUUAAUACUAAUAGUUGUUAUUGUCAUUAAUUUUGUGCUUGCAGUAAAAGUAACAGAAAAUAGUGAAAAUUUUCCUUGGAGGUUGCCUUAUACACCCAACCAGCUUGCAGACCAGAUCAGGAAAUCCUAGAGGCUGGUAUGGUGGGAAUGGGUUUACUUUCACUUAAAUUCCUACCACAGGGUAGGAGGUGGUUGGCUGGUGAAACAUCUACCAGCGCAUCACAGCUCCUUGUUGUCAUAAAGGAUUAUGUUUACCUGCUUCCCUGGCAGUGGUAAAAUAAAAAGAUGCGAAGUCAUUAAAGACACUACCACUGUCUUCUGGGAGAAUCUCUUCUCAUCAUAGGCUCAGUCUUUCUGGAUAAUUGGGUGACCACUCACCUCCUGGCCAGUGAUGUCUCUUCUCUUAAUUCUUUUCUUCCUCUUCUUCCUUCUCUUCCUUUGACAUUAGUCAAGCAGCUCCAUGGAGCUUUUUUUGCAGAUUUUUUGAGGUUUUCUACACAGCAAAUCACGUCAUCUGUGAAGAGAGAGUUUAAUUUCUUUUCCAGUCUUCUCCUGAAGUGCCCUCUGUCCACAGAGUGCACCUGCUGAGGAGUCACUGAGGACCAGCUGAGUGACACAGGCAGUUACACACAAGCAUGGAGCCAAGAUACCUGACAGUGGCGUGGACUUCCUGGAAGAAGUGAAUGUGAAUAGAACUGAAAGUAGAGGAGAAAGGGCAUUCUCAUGCAGGUGGUCCUGUGCAGACCCUUGGGCCCCACCUCAGAGCUAUUGAACAAGAAUCUGCAUGUUAACAAGAUCCUCAGGAGACCUGCAUGUGCCCUAAAAUUUAAGAAACAUCAUUUUCAAUGAUAAAGAAACAUUUGAACGAGUAGCAUGUUUUUUCUCUUGCAUCACGUGUUUGACUUUUAUCUUUUGUUGCUCCUGCCUUUAAUUUCCAGAGGGCUCAUUUAUAUAACCUUCUCCUACAGAUAAUCUGAAUAGUUGGUGUUCUGUAUAGCUGCCUGUAAAUACGUAUGGUCCUUUUACAUGUUUCUCCUUCACGGGACAGUAGGCAACAUUUUCUGUUCAAAAUUCAAGUAACAGGACAAAGCCAGAGGAAUAGUUAAAAAGUGGACUAAAGAAAGAAAAAAAGAGCGUGUUAAGGAAAGGAAGUAAAAUGAGAAGUGGAAAAGAGAUAUGGACAGAGUAAGGUGGUUGUAUAAUGAAGAAUUUGUCUGAUCUUUGUCCCAG
rnacentral:lncRNA from 1 species